UCAAUAAUUACUACAGCCCUGAGCAAUGAGAUUGUAUUCCAAAAUAUUUAAACACUAUGGAAGGAAUUAUAAAUACAUAUGUUAAUAUUAUUUCAGUUUCUGUGGUGGUUACUCAGUUUCCAACUAUCCGACUGUGCAGUAUUAGACCCAGCAUUAUAUCUCUCACCAAGCCCUCCACUGGUCUCUAUUAGUGAAAGUAAUCCGGAAAUUAUAUGGACUCAACCGAGGAAUGCACCACUAAACACCAAAUCUAUUGUCGAUAAAGAGCCAGCAAAUGGAAGGAGGAACCAGGAAGCGAUGGUGGAGGCUGAAACAUUUUGGCCGCAUAUUCGUUCAAUCCAUUUCCCGUUACAAUUUCAUUUGAGUGGAACUUAUGGAGGUUUUGGAGGUACAGGAGUAGUCCCCAGCAGU